ACGUAGGUGGCAAGCGUUGUCCGGAUUUAUUGGGCGUAAAGCGAGCGCGGGCGGUUUUUUAAGUCUGAUGUGAAAGCCUUCGGCUCAACCGAAGAAGUGCAUCGGAAACUGGGGAACUUGAGUGCAGAAGAGGACAGUGGAACUCCAUGUGUAGCGGUGAAAUGCGUAGAGAUGUGGAAGAACACCAGAGGCGAAGGCGGCUCACUGGGCUGUAACUGACGCUAAGGCGCGAAAGUAUGGGGAGCGAACGG
rnacentral:rRNA from 1 species